rnacentral:misc_RNA from 1 species
AACGCAUAUUGCGCCCUUUGGCAUUCCGAAGGGCAUGCCUGUUCGAGCGUCAUCAAAAUAUCUCGAGCCUGAUACUGUAUUUGGCUUGGUUCUGAAUAAGGAGUACUGUUGAUGUGUUCCUAUUCGAAAAAUAAUGGCGAAUGUGACUGUUCUGUAUGGUGUAGUAAUGAUCUCAUCCUCUCACCAUAGAGCUUUCACUUUCCGUCGUCAUUCCAGUAAGUAAGCGAUUUUGACCUCGGAUCAGGUAAGGAUACCCGCUGAACUUAA